ensembl:rRNA 5S_rRNA 5S ribosomal RNA
GUUGUGUCUACCCUGAACACACCUGAUCUCAGAAGCUAAGCAGGAUCAGGCCUGGUUAGUGCUUGCAUGGGAGAUACUGAUUACUACUAUUCUUUCUCUCUGGAAGCCCGUGGUCUCUCAGCA